rnacentral:ncRNA from 1 species
CCGGGUCGGCUUCGGCCGUCCGGGGGCGCACCCUUAGCGCACACGUUGGUACCCGAAAGAUGGUGAACUAUGCCUGGCCAGGAUGAAGUCAGGGGAAACCCUGAUGGAGGUCCGCAGCGAUUCUGACGUGCAAAUCGAUCGUCUGAGCUGGGUAUAGGGGCGAAAGACUAAUCGAACCAUCUAGUAGCUGGUUCCAUCCGAAGUUUCCCUCAGGAUAGCUGGCGCCGAUGUGUCCCGCCCGUUC